AUCAUUGUAAAAAUUCUGGAAACUCUGGGCACCUUUCAUAGUUACACAUUGUAGACAACGAACAGCCGUUCUGUUAGGCCGCAGUCGAUGUCAAACUUGGCACACAUUUGGUGAUGUAUAUUACGUGAGCAGGUUAUUUAAUAGGGCAUCUAUGACAACGUUUUCAAUCGUUGAAGAGAUCAGUGGGUAAGGCGAAGUCGUUGCUCCUGCUAUCAGGAUUGAUAUCACCCUGAUCUGUGGAUACUGCUACUACAACAAUCGGCUUUUCAACAGCACACUGUAUUCGAAGGAUCUCUGCGCUCAAAUGACCUGUAUGGCCAGGCAGAAGGAAGUAGAAGUGGUGGAAUGCUCACCUCUGGAGACAGGAUGCCAGUGGAAAAAACCAGGGGAAGAAUUUCCUCAAUGCUGUGAACGAGUGUGCCCUGAACCUCGAAAUGCUCGCCAGGCGAAAACUAAGGAUGCGGCUCCUUCUGAGAAUAACAUAAACCCUACCUAGUUUUCUCCCGAAUGAAAUAAAAUCGACAGCACGCCUCCACGAGGCCAGAAUUUUCGCGAAGUUCAUGUCUCACCGACAUCAAUAAAUCUCUCGUAAGCCUGAGUCAUCGCCGCGGAUGCUGUCACACAAGCUUUCGUGUCAAACUUCAUAAAGGAAAUUCUAGGUUCCAGCUAGGACGACAUCGUGCGCAUCCCAAAGACUUCUUAAGAAGGCGGUAGGGCCCGCGCUGUAUUUGA
rnacentral:lncRNA from 1 species